rnacentral:tRNA from 1 species
AUUUAAAUAGUUUAUAAAAAUAAUAGUUUGUGGGACUAUAGAUAUACUUAUUGUAUUUUAAAUA